CCGCGAGCUAUGGUUAAAUGAAGGAACUCGUUUGCGUGGUCGCCCAAUAGUACUUUUGCAGGCGAAAUUAGUUGAGGUCGGGCGUACAUGGAGUCGAGGCAUAGCCAACAGCAUUGCUUCCGCGUACUCAUUCUAUUUCUGUUUUCUUUGUUACCUAGUGGAUUAGUAUUGCUCUGAUAACCUAUGGGAUUAAUAUUGUUUUUGGGUUGA